rnacentral:rRNA from 1 species
GACGUAGGGCGCGAGCGUUGUCCGGAUUUAUUGGGCGUAAAGAGCUCGUAGGCGGCUUGUCGCGUCGACUGUGAAAACCCGCGGCUUAACUGCGGGACUGCAGUCGAUACGGGCAGGCUAGAGUUCGGUAGGGGAGACUGGAAUUCCUGGUGUAGCGGUGAAAUGCGCAGAUAUCAGGAGGAACACCGGUGGCGAAGGCGGGUCUCUGGGCCGAUAUUGACGCUGAGGAGCGAAAGCGUGGGGAGCGAACAGG